CGAGCACGCGCGUGUGGCAUAUCAAUAAGCGGAGGAAAAGAAACUAACAAGGAUUCCCCUUAGUAACGGCGAGUGAAGCGGGAAGAGCUCAAAUUUGAAAUCUUCAAGGGUUCUACCUUGACGAAUUGUAGUUUAUAAGAAGUGUUUUCUGUUAGUGGAGGUGGCUAAAAGUUCUUUGGAAUAGGACAUCAUAGAGGGUGAGAAUCCCGUAUUUGGUCAUUCCUCCUAGCGUUGUGAUACACUUUCAACGAGUCGGAUUGUUUGGGAAUGCAGUCCAAAAUGGGUGGUAAAUUUCAUCUAAAGCUAAAUAUUGGCGAGAGACCGAUAGCGAACAAGUACCGUGAGGGAAAGAUGAAAAGAACUUUGAAAAGAGAGUUAAACAGUACGUGAAAUUGUCAAAAGGGAAGCGUUUGACACCAGUGUUGUUUUUCCGAAAAUCAAUUACGAAUGUUCUGUUUUUGAGGAGUUAUGACUUCAUCGGCUUGCUUCUUUCUUUAUGAAACUUUCUUAAUGCACUUUUCGGUUAACAAGUCAACAUCAAUUUCUUUUGUUGUAAAAGGGUAUGAGGAAGGUGGCUUUCUUUUCGGAGAAAGUGUUUAUAGCCUUGUAGCCUCUGCAAUCGGAGAGAUUGAGGUCUGCAGCGUAGAUCCUUCGGGGUUAGAUACAGUUUGUGCUAAGUUAUAGCUUUUCAUAGACAACUUGUUGACUAUGUUUAGUCUUGUAGCUUACUCGCUGAUGCUAUUUUACCUACGCUUAGGAUGUUGAUGUGAUACUGCGAGCA
rnacentral:rRNA from 1 species